UUCCAGGAAGGAGCGGUAAACUCUGAAUCUGAGCGAGAACAGCGGGAAGCAGAAAAACAAGCUAGAGUAGAAGCGAGUUUACGUGAAAGGCAGAAAGAAGUUGAGCGAACACUAGCUGUCCAUCUACGCGAUCGGGAUAAUGAACGAGAACAACACAAGCACGAUGAAGCAGUCCAGCACUUCAACGCUCUUCUCGCUGAUUUGGUGAGAAACUCUGAACUCGCUUGGAGAGAGGCCAAAAGACAGUUACGGAAAGAUCAUCGAUGGGAUCUGGCUGAACUCCUCAGUAGAGAUGAAAAAGAAAAACUGUUUAAUGAACACAUUGAGUUACUUUCAAAAAA